ACUCUGUCUCAAAAAAAAAAAAAAAAAGACAGUGUUGGUCAAAACUUCUGUAUAUUCUUCCAUGCAUAAAAUUUUAAUUUUUAUAAUAACUUCUGUUAAUUGAGUCUCCUUAACAAGUUCAUGAAUUUUAGAAAUAUUGCAUAACCUCUAUCGUAGUAAGGGGCAAUUAUAAUUCCCACUUAACAGCUAUAUCAACAUCCAUGAAAGUUAAGCAUCUUUCCCAAGAUUACAUAAGAAGUCAAGACAAAAAAAUUAAAAUAUAAUAGAGCUCAAAACAAUAGAGCUGUCACCGUGAUCCUAUUGUUUGCUUACCCAGGGCUUUAUUCUGUAUCCUGUGUAAUCUUCCACUGUCCAUAUGAAUUAAUUUUAUAGGUCUUAGGAUGAGUUUAAUUUCUUCAAAAUAUUUCACAUAUAGGUUUCAUUUAGCCUGAAUCAUGUUCACAGAGUCCAUCAACCAUUUUAAUUUGGCAUUAACAUUACAGGUUAUAUUCUUCCCCUUUUAAAAAGAUAACUAUCAAGUUCCAACUCUCAUUUCCUGGAUACUCCUCCCAUCCUGGAAAAUAAAUAUUAUAAACAUUGUUUUCUAGAUGAUAAGACAAUAUACUUUAAAGGAUUCUCUAACAAGAAAACUGAUACAAGUUAGGGUAUUAUCAUAUUCAUUACCUAUGGUUUCUGUUUUUAGAGAUGGUGCUAAAUACUUGCUUCUGUGUUCAAUUUCUUUUUGUGCAAAACGGAGCAUCACUCUUCAGACAUUUUGAUCUCCUUAUCAUCAGUUUUUAUGAUGUCCUAAAUUCUUUGACUAAUAACUCGAUCCCCCAAAACAUAUGAGAGAUUCUGGCACUUGUAGCAUCACUCUUCUUUGUGACUAUCAAGGCAGAACAUUGGUUUCUAAGCUCAGCUAUUGAUAAAUUAUACACUUGUCAUCUUUCUGAUGCCAAAAUGCUCAUUCACAAAACUCUAUGCUCCUAAUCUUAUUAUUUAUGGCGCCUGAGUCUCAAAUUAAGCUGAAACCACACAUGUGGCAUCUACCUCCAAGAAAGCCCAGUUUUUUCACCUAGAGAUUCAGAAAUUGACUUCCAGUCAAUUUUUUAGGCUAUAGCCUAAAAAACCAUGUUACUGUUACUACUAUUAAUAUGCUAGUCUCAGUCCCAAUUAUCACAGUUCUUCCUUAAGGAACAUGAACAAUAUUUGAACUUCGUAUAAUUGAUGAUCUCAGAAUUGAGUGUUUUGCUAUGCCUUUUCAUUAAAAACAAUCUUUGCUAUAAUAGAAUAUUCCAACUCAGAAAACCCUAAAAGAAGAGACUCAACAGAUGCCAAGCACUCAUUCUUGAAGAACCAACAGCUGACGCUAAAGGAAUUUAACCUGCAAUACCAAUGAUUCCUAAUGUUGCUUGGCAGCAUAAGGAGCAAUUCCAGAAAGCCUCCUUCAAAGAUUAAAACUCUUACUUCACCCUCCUCCCAGACCUCACAAUUUAAUUUGAUGGGGAAUCAUAAUCUAUUUAUUAGGAUACAGCCAAGUUAAUGAUCUAGAAAUGUUAGGUUAUUAAUUUUGGAAGAGAGGCCACUAUUUAUAUAUAUGGAGUAGUGAUUUAUGAUGCACUGUUUGCCAGCAAUUUUAAACCAAUAAAUGUCCAGAAAUGAGGAAGCAAAAAUAGGUACUCCCCACUCUAUGUCAAGGUGUCCUCAUCUGCUUUCCGCAGGACUCUGGGUGUGGAGCCAGGAGUGUGACCACCACCUGCAGGUAGUCUUGAAAUGGAAGCACAUAGGGUCCAAAGUCAGGAGACCUAGAUUUGGAUUUGGCUCUGACUUUGACUGGUUACAUGAUCUUGGACUAAGAGAUAACACCUCCCUCACAAAAUUGUGAGGAUUCAAUUAAAUCAUUUAGGUGUAAAUAUUGUGCAUAAAUAAACACUACAUGCAUGCUACUAAAAAUUGAGAAAUUAUUUAUUCAUUGAUAUCUUUAAUGUAUUUCAGCAUUCUACAGUGGUAGUAGAUAGAAUAUGCAUUGAACACAGUAUUAGAAGAGCAGACAGUAAAUAAAGUAGAGCAUAUAUCUA